rnacentral:rRNA from 1 species
UACGAAGGGGGCUAGCGUUGUUCGGAAUUACUGGGCGUAAAGGGCGCGUAGGCGGUGUGUCAAGUCAGGCGUGAAAGCCCCGGGCUCAACCUGGGAACAGCGCUUGAGACUGGCACGCUCGAGUUCGGGAGAGGAUGGUGGAAUUCCCAGUGUAGAGGUGAAAUUCGUAGAUAUUGGGAAGAACACCGAUGGCGAAGGCAGCCAUCUGGACCGACACUGACGCUGAGGCACGAAAGCGUGGGGAGCAAACAGG